rnacentral:misc_RNA from 1 species
GAUGAAGAACGCAGCGAAAUGCGAUAAGUAAUGUGAAUUGCAGAAUUCAGUGAAUCAUCGAAUCUUUGAACGCACAUUGCGCCCGCCAGUAUUCUGGCGGGCAUGCCUGUUCGAGCGUCAUUUCAACCAUCAAGCCCCCGGCUUGUGUUGGGGACCUGCGGCUGCCGCAGCCUCCCAAAACCAGUGGCGGGCUCGCUAUCACACCGAGUGCAGUAGUUUACUCUUCGCUCAGGGCGUGUGGCGGGUGCUAGCCGUAAAACCCCCAACUUCUCAAGGUUGACCUCGGAUCAGGUAGGAAUACCCGCUGAACUUAAGCAUAUCAAUAAGCGGAGGA